rnacentral:rRNA from 1 species
CACGGUAAACGAUGGAUGCCCGCUGUUUGCCCUUCGGGGUGAGUGGCUAAGCGAAAGCGUUAAGCAUCCCACCUGGGAAGUACGCUGGCAACGGUGAAACUCAAUGGAAUUGACGGGGGCCCGCACAAGCGGAGGAACAUGUGGUUUAAUUCGAUGAUACGCGAGGAACCUUACCCGGGCUUGAAUUGCAGAUGACGGAUCUAGAGAUAGUGACUUCCUUCGGGACAUCUGUGAAGGUGCUGCAUGGUUGUCGUCAGCUCGUGCCGUGAGGUGUCGGCUUAAGUGCCAUAACGAGCGCAACCCUUCUCUUCAGUUGCCAUCAGGUUAAGCUGGGCACUCUGGAGACACUGCCACCGUAAGGUGUGAGGAAGGUGGGGAUGACGUCAAAUCAGCACGGCCCUUACGUCCGGGGCUACACACGUGUUACAAUGGCCGGUACAGGAAGUCGGAUGCCCGUAAGGUCAUUCUAAUCAAGAAAGCCGGUCCCAGUUCGGACUGAGGUCUGCAACCCGACC